rnacentral:tRNA from 1 species
CUUGGUGUCGUCUAGUGGUUAGGACGCGAGCUCCACACGCUCGAGAUCGAGGGUUCGAUCCCUCCAUUGAUA